UAACCUCUUUUACCUGGGAUGUGAAGUAGCUUCGACAACCCUACCUCUGCUCCGAUUACCUACGAAGAAAAUAGGAAGAGGAAGAGGAAGAGGAAGAAGAAAGCAGCUGAUGACGAAGAAGAUUCGACCCUCUCUGUUCCGAUUCCGCAGGUGAAGCAGCAAAUGAUUUUUUGAGUUCUGCUGCUUCGCAGCUGCUAUUGAGUCGCUGUGGCCAUUCAAAGUGAAUUGACGGAACCAAGGUUUCUUCGCAAUCCGAAAAGCUUGGUGGCAGGGACAUGUCCAUGUGGAUCCUCAAAGGAAAACCUCAGAUCUUGACUGUCUUAUAAGCUACAGGUACUAACUAGCAGAUCAGUAGAAGGAAUUCAAAGUUUCAACGAGGAAGUUCAGUAUAGCUUCGUAAUCGCUCUCCAUUCUUUUUGUCUCUGAGCAUUCUUAUGUUUUUUUGAGAAGAAAUCUAUGCAAAUCGAUGAACCAUUAGUAGGAGAUUUUUCACUGAAAUUUGGACCUUUCUUCAUUCUGUGUUGCGGCUCUGCUCCAAAUUGGGAUAGGAUCAGCAUGCUCCCAGGAGAUUUACACCUGUCUUCGUCCACAAGAAGACUUGGGCGAAAAGAAGAAAAAGAAGAAGGUGGUGGUGGGUCCCACUUAAUUUUGUGGGUUUCCCACCCAUGGGAAUAUGUUGUUACAUAGAGGUUUAUAACAAGGUCAAAAAUGUUAAUGUUAAAAAUUAAGGGUGCAGUGAAUAUUAUUUUCCUUUUUAAGGGUUAUAAGGA